AUGGCCAAGCUGCAAUUGGCCACAGGGGCGACGAAUUUGUGCUGGAACCAGGUAUUUGUUUUGCUGGAUCCACCCAUUUGUUUUGCUACAACCCCUUUCUCCUUUUGCUAUCAUCCCCAUUCGAUUUUUUAUGAACAUUUGGAUUUUUGCUGGAACCGGGGCCCGUUUUUGCUGGAACCAACUGGUGGAUAUGCUGCAAGGUCGACACCACGCCGGAGGAAGCUGCAUCCAGUGGCAAGGAGGGUUGCGGCCAACGCCGUUCGAACGCUGGAAGUUGCAACCGUGUACGCUGGAGCUACAACGGGCGACUGGGGGAGCCGCAAGCGGGGUGGCUGUAUUUUGCUGAACAAUUUUCUUUUUGCUGGAACCGAUGUAUUGUUUUGCUGGAACCGAGAUAAAUUUUUGUUUCAUUGGCUGCAGAGUUCUCAAAUGCUCAUGUCAUUUUUGCUGGAACCUAAGUUUGGUUUUGCUGGAAGCGUUUUUUGA
rnacentral:rRNA from 1 species